UAAUUUAUAUUUUAAUUAAGAUUAUUAGAAAUUUAUUUUUUAGUUAUGAUUGGGGUGAUUUUUAAAGAUUAUUAAUCUUUAAAAUUUUUUAAUAAAAAAGUUCCAUUAGUCCGCGUUUUUUGAUAAAAAUACUCUAGGGAUAACAGCGUUAUUAUUUUGGAUAGUUCAUAUAGAUAAAAUAGUUUGCGACCUCGAUGUUGGAUCUAGAGAUUCUUUUAUGGAUGAAGAAGUUAUAAGGGAGAAGUUUGCUCAACUUUUAAAGUCCUACUUGAUCUGAGUUCAGACCGGG
rnacentral:rRNA from 1 species